ACGAACGCUGGCGGCGUACUUAACACAUGCAAGUCGUACGAGAAAGGAGACUUCGGUCUCUGAGUAAAGUGGCGCACGGGUGCGUAACACGUAAGUAAUCUACCCCGAACUCUGGGAUAACUCUCCGAAAGGAGGGCUAAGACUGGAUAGGGUCCCUGAGGUGUAGGCUGCAGGGGGAAAACGGGCCUCUGUUUCAUGCUCGUGGUUUGGGAUGAGCUUGCGGCCCAUUAGCUUGUUGGAGGGUAAUGGCCUACCAAGGCGACGAUGGGUAGCUGGUCUGAGAGGAUGAUCAGCCACACUGGCACUGAGACACGGGCCAGACUCCUACGGGAGGCAGCAGUGGGGAAUUUUGCGCAAUGGGCGAAAGCCUGACGCAGUAACGCCGCGUGGAGGAUGAAGGCCUUGG
rnacentral:rRNA from 1 species